rnacentral:tRNA from 1 species
GUAGCUUACACUAAAGCAUAGCACUGAAGAUGCUAAGACGGCCCACCACACCAUGCCCGAGGACA